UUAUUUAUGGGAAGUCUGUUGAGAGGGAAACAUUUCCAAGACGUAUGGGGAAGGUGGAAUUUCCUGAGCUGAUGUGAGAGUAUCAUUCCGGAGGGCCAUUAGACAGGAGCCGAGCCCCUCCGCCGGCAGGGAAACAGUCUCUUGUGGAAACCGGGAAUCAUAUGAAGAAGAAUCCUAACUUCAAAGUGUUGUGGCGAGAAUCAAGUGAGAGGAUGUGCUUAGCACACAGGUGUACAAGCAGCGAGGGCCCUGGCAUCCUGACCCCACAGCCUUUGUGGUGUUAGCCACUGCUCACUGCUUUCCACCUGCUAGAACACCCUAGAAUAUUUGAAUCAGAGCUUCCAAAUGGAAAAGAGACAGUGAAAGACUUCUGUACAAGUCCCCAAAAACCAGGCUGAGGAAGAGGGAGAAUGCAAAGCUGACUUCAGGGUUUGGAGUUUGGCUCACUGGGGUAGAUGAAGUUGCCGUUAACAGCAUGGAAAUAGCAAGAAGCAGGUUCAAGGCGACGUAUCACGUUCAACCAGGAACACUGGAUUACUGAGAUGCAAGUGGGCUAUCUGGGUGGUUUUUUCUGGCAGGUGUUGGACUGCCAGAAAAUGAUUCUUCAAAGCUACUGAGAGUGUGGUAAAUAAUUAAUCCCAUUUGGGCCAAUUCAAGUGCUGUCCUGGGUGGAGACUUCUGGGGGCAGAGAGCAAACUAGGAAAUAGAAAACAGAAGUGGGUACUCAUGAGUUUGUGGUCACAGCACUGUUUUCCUGCCUGCAGAGUGGGCACAUUGCUCUGUUCUUCCCAAGCUGCUGCUGAGGCUGCAUUAGGUCACGAAGGGGAAAUUGCCCUGUCGAUUGUGCGAGAGGCAGCAGAUAGUGGCAUCAACCCCAGUCCCCCAAAUGCUGAGCAGGACGGGAGAUGUGUAAGUGAAGCGCCCCCUGUCUCUGUGUCAUAGCUGAGGAAAUAAUAAUUGUUCCCUCCUCUGGUUUGAACUGGCCUUUUGAAUAGACUUUAAAUUUGUAAAUAAUCGCCAUAGGAACGACACAGUAAAAACUGGAAUUUC